AAUAGAUACCCCGGUAGUCCACGCCGUAAACAAUGAACACUAGGUGUAGGGGGUGUCGACUCCCCCUGUGCCGAAGCUAACGCAUUAAGUGUUCCGCCUGGGGAGUACGGCCGCAAGGCUAAAACUCAAAGGGAAUUGACGGGGGCCCGCACAAGCAGCGGAGCAUGUGGUUUAAUUGGACGCAACGCCAAGAACCUUACCCGGGCUUGACAUGUUCCUGACCGGCCUGGAAACAGGUCUUCCCUUCGGGGCAGGAUCACAGGUGGUGCAUGGCUGUCGUCAGCUCGUGUCGUGAGAUGUUGGGUUAAGUCCCGCAACGAGCGCAACCCCCGUCGCAUGUUGCCAGCAUUAAGUUGGGGACUCAUGCGAGACUGCCGGUGACAAACCGGAGGAAGGUGGGGAUGACGUCAAGUCAUCAUGCCCCUUAUGUCCGGGGCUACACACGUGCUACAUUGGCGCGUACAGAGGGCUGCGAUACCGCGAGGUGGAGCGAAUCCCUUAAAGCGCGUCUCGGUUCGGAUUGCAGGCUGAACUCG
rnacentral:rRNA from 1 species